CGGUACGUACUGGCAUUGUUGGUUUCUCCCUUCUGACGAACCAUGAUGUCAUUUAUUUGGUGUUGUGGGGAAUCAGGACUGUUACUUUGAAAAAAUUAGAGUGUUUAAAGCAGGCUCACGCUUGAAUACAUUAGCAUGGAAUAAUGAAAUAGGACGUUUGAUUCUAUUUUGUUGGUUUCUAGGGUCGACGUAAUGAUUAAUAGGGAUAGUUGGGGGCAUUAGUAUUCAAUUGUCAGAGGUGAAAUUCUUGGAUUUAUUGAAGACUAACUACUGCGAAAGCAUUUGCCAAGGAUGUUUUCAUUAAUCAAGAACGAAAGUUAGGGGAUCGAAGACGAUCAGAUACCGUCGUAGUCUUAACCAUAAACUAUGCCGACUAGGGAUCGGAUGAUGUUAAUUUUUUAAUGACUCAUUCGGCGCCUUACG
rnacentral:rRNA from 1 species